rnacentral:rRNA from 1 species
UACGUAGGGUGCGAGCGUUGUCCGGAAUUAUUGGGCGUAAAGAGCUCGUAGGCGGUGUGUCGCGUCGGCCGUGAAAACCUGCGGCUUAACUGUGGGCUUGCGGUCGAUACGGGCAUCACUGGAGUUCGGCAGGGGAGACUGGAAUUCCUGGUGUAGCGGUGAAAUGCGCAGAUAUCAGGAGGAACACCGGUGGCGAAGGCGGGUCUCUGGGCCGAUACUGACGCUGAGGAGCGAAAGCGUGGGGAGCGAACAGG